rnacentral:rRNA from 1 species
GAACGAAGCAGAGGGGCGGAAUUUUUUCGGAGAGGAAGCCCCCCUGACUGAGUGGCGGACGGGUGAGUAACGCGUGGACAACCUACCCCGCACUGGGGGACAACAGCUGGAAACGGCUGCUAAUACCGCAUAUGCGCACGGCCCCGCAUGGGGCCGCGCGGAAAGCGCAUGCGGUGCGGGAUGGGUCCGCGUCUGAUUAGCUUGUUGGCGGGGUAACGGCCCACCAAGGCGACGAUCAGUAGCCGGCCUGAGAGGGUGGACGGCCACAUUGGGACUGAGACACGGCCCAGACUCCUACGGGAGGCAGCAGUGGGGGAUAUUGCACAAUGGGGGCAACCCUGAUGCAGCGACGCCGCGUGAGCGAUGGAGUACUUCGGUAUGUAAAGCUCUGUCAGCAGGGAAGAGAAUGACGGUACCUGACCAAGAAGCCCCGGCUAAAUACGUGCCAGCAGCCGCGGUAAUACGUAUGGGGCAAGCGUUAUCCGGAUUUACUGGGUGUAAAGGGAGCGUAGGCGGCAGGGCCAGCCUGAUGUGAAAGCCCCGGGGCUCCAACCCC